CCCACACUCCUGGAAUGAGAAUAGAGGAGCCAGCACCUCACUAGGAACCCAGGCUGGGGAAGCACAAACAAGGCGGAGUAAUGGGCGGCGGCUUUCAACAGAAGAGAAUUGGUUGUCUUCAGAGGCACUUGAGCAUCCAACCUCCCAAUUAGACAGACAGGGGAACCUGAGAAUGCAAGUCCCAAGGGUAAAAUCAAAACAGGAAUGUCUGGUCCCUCCAUCUACAAACAGGUAAAGGAGCCCAGAAUGAGGAAGAGAAAAGACAGACAUGUGGGGAGCAUGGGAAAUGGAUUGCAAGGACACAACUCAUCAGCUAACCGAGCAGUCAAAACCGUUCCUGUGUGGAGAAGGAUAAGUUUUCUCUUCAGACUUUUGGCUGACUUGCUGCCAUUAGCACAACUGAAGUUUGUACCCCAGAAAAAGUAGCAAUAAGUAGCAAUGCUCUGCUCCCCUGUUUUCAGCCUGAGCAGGAAAGGACCGUUUACAGAUUGAUCUCCUCAUCAAAGAACCAUGUCACCCAAUCUCUCUGCUCUGCAACCUGCCACAAGAUUGAUGGGGAUUUCUGUGAGUGAACGUGCUACAUUGAACAUCCAUACUGAUGCCCUGGCCUCUGAGCAUUCUUCAUCUCCUGGACCUAACAGCUUUCACUUGUGGAUCCCUCUGUCACCCUUGGCCAUGAUGACAUCUUCUUUACUGUCUUCAUGUGGAAACUACUCCAUCUCCAAAAGCAUCAGUUCCCAAGACUGCCUCAAUCCAAUGUGCCUUUUUCUCUUUUCCUUUAUUUUUCUCCUGCUGCUGCUGCUGCUGCUGCUGCUGCUGCUGUUGUUCGUGCAGCCUUGGUACAGGGAGGAGGGGCUUGGACCUGCCUCAAUGGAGUAUACUGGGCUCUGCUGACUCCCCAUGGGAGACCUUGCCUUGGAGGAGGUGGGAAUGGGGGGUGGGAGGAGAGAGGACAGGGGAAUCUGUGGUUGAUAUGUAAAAUGAAUAGAAAAUCUUUUAAUAAAAAAAAAUCUCAAAACGUGCCCAAUAUCCUUAUCAAUUAGGAAAUUAUAAAUUAAAACUAUUGCUGGGCAGUGGUGGAGCACACCUUUAAUCACAGCACUUGGGAGGCAGAGUCAGGCAGAUCUCUGUGAGUUUGAGGUCAACCUGGUCUACAGAGCAAGUUUCAGGACAGCCGAUGUUGUUACACAGAGAAACCCUGUCACAAAAAAAUUUUAAAAAAAAUUAAAAUUAAAACUAUUAUGAGAUUUCAUCUUACGUCAAAAUGGGUAAGAUCAAGAAAAGAACUGGCAAGUACUGGUGAGGAUGAGGAGAGAGGGAAUUCACUGUUGGUGGGACUGCAAACUGGUAAGGCCACUAUGCAAAUCAGUGUGGAGAAUUUUUCAAAAAAGCUAGAAAGAGACUUACCAUAUGUUGUGGAAUAGAAUAUUUGUUUAACUAUGUAAAGAUGUGUUGCAUUUUGUUUAACUAUGUAAAAGUGUGUUUGCACUGCAGAAUAAUUGUUUAACUGUAUAAAGAUGUGUUGUACUUGUUUAUCCUGCAUUUAAUUACAUAAAGGUAUGUUGCUUUUGUUUAUGCUGAA